rnacentral:rRNA from 1 species
CCUACGGGAGGCAGCAGUAAGGAAUAUUGGUCAAUGGACGCAAGUCUGAACCAGCCAUGCCGCGUGAAGGAUUAAGGCCCUCUGGGUUGUAAACUUCUUUUAUAGGGGACGAAAAAAGGGCAUUCUUGCUCACUUGACGGUACCCUAGGAAUAAGCACCGGCUAACUCCGUGCCAGCAGCCGCGGUAAUACGGAGGGUGCAAGCGUUAUCCGGAUUUACUGGGUUUAAAGGGUGCGUAGGUGGGUUGGUAAGUCAGUGGUGAAAUCUUCGAGCUUAACUCGGAAACUGCCAUUGAUACUAUCAAUCUUGAAUCAUCUAGAGGUAAGCGGAAUAUGUCAUGUAGCGGUGAAAUGCUUAGAUAUGACAUAGAACACCAAUUGCGAAGGCAGCUUACUAUGGAUGUAUUGACACUGAGGCACGAAAGCGUGGGGAUCAAACAGGAUUAGAUACCCUGGUAGUCCACGCCCUAAACGAUGGAUACUCGACAUUUGUGAUAUACUAUAAGUGUCUGAGCGAAAGCAUUAAGUAUCCCACCUGGGAAGUACGACCGCAAGGUUGAAACUCAAAUGAAUUGACGG